rnacentral:rRNA from 1 species
UGAGGAAUAUUGGACAAUGGGCGAGAGCCUGAUCCAGCCAUGCCGCGUGCAGGAUGACUGCCCUAUGGGUUGUAAACUGCUUUUAUACAGGAAGAAACGGCUUUACGUGUAGAGUCCUGACGGUACUGUAAGAAUAAGGAUCGGCUAACUCCGUGCCAGCAGCCGCGGUAAUACGGAGGAUCCAAGCGUUAUCCGGAAUCAUUGGGUUUAAAGGGUCCGUAGGUGGAUAAUUAAGUCAGAGGUGAAAUCCUGCAGCUCAACUGUAGAAUUGCCUUUGAUACUGGUUAUCUUGAGUUACUAUGAAGUAAUUAGAAUAUGUAGUGUAGCGGUGAAAUGCAUAGAUAUUACAU